rnacentral:lncRNA from 1 species
AUCACAAUUCCCUCUUAACAAUUGCAUAUAUAUUUGAGUAGUCCUUUUCUAGUUUAAACAAUCAAGGAUUUUGGGUAUGAAUAAACUCAAGUUGGAGCUCUCUGCACUCCAGUGUUGAAGGAGGUGAUGGUAAACCCUAGCUGCUAAUUCAUGGUUACCUUUGGCUUCCCAUAAGGAAGCAUGUGAAAGUCAUGGGUUUACAUGAAUAUGGAGACGGGGUUGCCUUGAUCUUUUGGUAUUGGAGUGAAGGGAGCUCCGAAUUAGGCCUUCUUAACUAAAUACUCACUUUAUAUAUUAUAUGCAUGGUUUCUGAAAAACGGUUUAUCAUUACAAUUUAAACUGCAACAUAAAUAUUUUUAUUUUCUUAUUGUGAUUGUAAGUACGGUUACAUCAGUUAUAUUUGUGUAUACGUAAUUUCUCGAAAUUUUAAUGAUGGCAACAAAAUAUCAACUUCAACCACAAUCUAAUAUAAACCUUAGAUUAUAUAUAUGCAUGUCAUGCUUUCAUGGUUGCAGGUGUUAUGUUUCACACCCCUCUUUUCAUGUGUUUCUCUUUUUUAUUAUUUUUUUUAUCUUUUUAAUUUCCAUGACAUCAUUUUGUAAAUUUUGUUUAGCUUAUUUUCUAGUUCUUAUCUCUCUCCCUUUUAUGGGUGUAUACCCACUUGGUAUGAGAAAUAAUUAUUUUCCUACAUACAUAUGUUGCUAAUCGCAUGUUGCGGGGUUUUUCGAAGGAUUGGAAACCGAAUAGGCGAGAAGAGUUGUUUUUGAAUUGAAUGAGACUGAUCUUGUCAGGAACAUCAACAUGUUUCAACCUAGCUAAAUCAAAAGUGAGUGAAGAAAUGGAAAGCACGAGCCAUCAACUGAAAAGAGAAAAAUGAAACAACAGAGGGACAAAAAUCUGUGUAGAAGUUCUUUAGAAGUUAAUAUGAUAUUGAAAGUAUUUGGCGGAAGAGAUUGGAAUGUUUCUUGUCUUUACAGUCAAACUUUUAAAAGAGUCGAAUAUUCCUGCACCAUACUUUAUUUUUUAUAUUCUUGCGGAUUGAUAAAAUUAAUUCAUUAAUAAGAUUCUUCCUAUAUGUUAUUUUGAG